rnacentral:tRNA from 1 species
GCGGUUGUAGUUCAAUGGUAGAAUGGGCGACUGUGGCUCGCUUGACGAGGGUCCGAUUCCCUCCUACCGCC